GACGGGGGGGGCAAGUGUUCUUCGGAAUGACUGGGCGUAAAGGGCACGUAGGCGGUGAAUCGGGUUGAAAGUGAAAGUCGCCAAAAAGUGGCGGAAUGCUCUCGAAACCAAUUCACUUGAGUGAGACAGAGGAGAGUGGAAUUUACGGUGUAGCGGUGAAAUGCGUAGAUAUCGUAAGGAAGACCAGUGGCGAAGGCGGGUCUCUGGACAGUUCCUGACGCUGAAGCACGAAGGCCAGGGGAGCAAACGGG
rnacentral:rRNA from 1 species